rnacentral:misc_RNA from 1 species
UCCGGUUUGUCACCGGCAGUCUCAUUAGAGUGCCCUUUCGUAGCAACUAAUGACAAGGGUUGCGCUCGUUGCGGGACUUAACCCAACAUCUCACGACACGAGCUGACGACAGCCAUGCAGCACCUGUGUUCCGAUUCUCUUUCGAGCACUCCCAACUUUCAUCAGGAUUCCGGACAUGUCAAGGGUAGGUAAGGUUUUUCGCGUUGCAUCGAAUUAAUCCACAUCAUCCACCGCUUGUGCGGGUCCCCGUCAAUUCCUUUGAGUUUUAAUCUUGCGACCGUACUCCCCAGGCGGUCAACUUCACGCGUUAGCUUCGUUACUAAGAAAAUUAAUUCCCAACAACUAGUUGACAUCGUUUAGGGCGUGGACUAC